UUAAUGACUCUCGGCAACGGAUAUCUCGGCUCUCGCAUCGAUGAAGAACGUAGCGAAAUGCGAUACUUGGUGUGAAUUGCAGAAUCCCGUGAACCAUCGAGUUUUUGAACGCAAGUUGCGCCCGAAGCCAUUUGGUUGAGGGCACGUCUGCUUGGGCGUCACGU
rnacentral:rRNA from 1 species